AGUGAACGCUGGCGGUAGGCCUAAUACAUGCAAGUCGAACGGCAGCACAGUAAGAGCUUGCUCUUACGGGUGGCGAGUGGCGGACGGGUGAGGAAUACAUCGGAAUCUACUUUUUCGUGGGGGAUAACGUAGGGAAACUUACGCUAAUACCGCAUACGACCUACGGGUGAAAGCAGGGGAUCUUCGGACCUUGCGCGAUUGAAUGAGCCGAUGUCGGAUUAGCUAGUUGGCGGGGUAAAGGCCCACCAAGGCGACGAUCCGUAGCUGGUCUGAGAGGAUGAUCAGCCACACUGGAACUGAGACACGGGCCAGACUCCUACGGGAGGCAGCAGUGGGGAAUAUUGGACAAUGGGCGCAAGCCUGAUCCAGCCAUACCGCGUGGGUGAAGAAGGCCUUCGGGUUGUAAAGCCCUUUUGUUGGGAAAGAAAAGCAGCAGGUUAAUACCCCGCUGUUCUGACGGUACCCAGAGAAUAAGCACCGGCUAACUUCGUG
rnacentral:rRNA from 1 species